rnacentral:rRNA from 1 species
UACAGAGGGUGCAAGCGUUAAUCGGAAUUACUGGGCGUAAAGCGUGCGUAGACGGUUACAUAAGUCGGGUGUGAAAGCCCCGGGCUCAACCUGGGAAUUGCAUUCGAGACUGCGUAGCUAGGGUGCGGAAGAGGGAAGCGGAAUUUCCGGUGUAGCGGUGAAAUGCGUAGAUAUCGGAAGGAACACCAGUGGCGAAAGCGGCUUCCUGGUCCAGCACCGACGUUCAGGCACGAAAGCGUGGGGAGCGAACCGG